UACGGAGGGGGCGAGCGUUAUUCGGAACUAUUGGGCGUAAAGGGCGCGUAGGCGGCCCUGUAAGUCAAAGGUGAAAUCCCUCGGCUCAACUGAGGAACUGCCUUUGAAACUGCAGGGCUUGAGGCCGGGAGGGGGUAGCGGAAUUCCCAAUGUAGCGGUGAAAUGCGUAGAUAUUGGGAGGAACACCAGUGGCGAAGGCGGCUACCUGGACCGGUUCUGACGCUGAGGCGCGAAAGCGUGGGUAGCAAACAGG
rnacentral:rRNA from 1 species